UACAGAGGGUGCGAGCGUUGUUCGGAAUUACUGGGCGUAAAGCGCGCGCAGGCGGCUCUUUAAGUCUCGUGGUCAAAUGCCGGGGCUCAACCCCGAGCGUGCCGGGGAUACUGGAGGGCUGGAGACAGGUAGAGGCAAGUGGAAUUCCGGGUGUAGCGGUGGAAUGCGUAGAGAUCCGGAAGAACACCGGUGGCGAAGGCGGCUCGCUGGGCAGUGGCUGACGCUGAGGCGCGACAGCGUGGGGAGCAAACAGG
rnacentral:rRNA from 1 species